GACGAACGCUGGCGGCGUGCUUAACACAUGCAAGUCGAACGGAAAGGCCCUGCUUGCAGGGUACUCGAGUGGCGAACGGGUGAGUAACACGUGGGUGAUCUGCCCUGCACUUCGGGAUAAGCCUGGGAAACGGGGUCUAAUACCGGAUAGGAGCCAUUUUUAGUGGGAUGGUUGGAGAGUUUUUUCGGUGUAGGAUGAGCUCGCGGCCUAUCAGCUUGUUGGUGGGGUAAUGGCCUACCAAGGCGGCGACGGGUAGCCGGCCUGAGAGGGUGGACGGCCACAUUGGGACUGAGAUACGGCCCCGACUCCUACGGGAGGCAGCAGUGGGGAAUAUUGAACAAUGGGCGCAAGCCUGAUGCAGCGACGCCGCGUGGGGGAUGACGGCCUUCGGGUUGUAAACUCCUUUCGCUAGGGACGAAGCUUUUUGUGACGGUACCUAGAUAAGAAGCACCGGCUAACUACGUG
rnacentral:rRNA from 1 species